GAUAGAAGUCUCUGUGUCGUUUGCUCCAGAAAUGGCUGCGUUUUACCGCAGUUUCGAAGGUAAAACUACUUAAAAUGUGCAAUGAAAUGCGUGCCAUCCGAUGAAUACCCAUCCAAAGUGUUAGUGUCAGAGACCUGCAAGUGCCUACCAUCUACCUAAUCCUCCAUCGACCAUCUACAAAACUUAGAAAUGUGUGCCAUUCUCCGAAGAGAACCCAUCCAAAGGGUUUGUGUAGUAGACCUGCAAGUGCCUACCAUCUACCCGGUCAUCCAUCGACCAUCUACACAACAUUAUAAAAAUGCGUGUAAUUCUCUGAUGAGUACCCAUCCAAAGUAAUGGUGUCAGAGACCUGCAUGUGCCUACCAUCUACCCAAUCAUCCAUCGACCAUCUACACAACAUAGAAAUGCGUGUAAUUCUCUGAUGAGUACCCAUCCAAAGUGUUUGUGUCAGAGACCUGCAAGUGCCUACCCAGUC